rnacentral:rRNA from 1 species
UAGGGAAUCUUCCGCAAUGGGCGCAAGCCUGACGGAGCAACGCCGCGUGAGUGAUGAAGGUUUUCGGAUCGUAAAGCUCUGUUGCCAAGGAAUAACGCCUCGGAGAGUAACUGCUCUGAGGGUGACGGUACUUGAGAAGAAAGCCCCGGCUAACUACGUGCCAGCAGCCGCGGUAAUACGUAGGGGGCAAGCGUUGUCCGGAAUUAUUGGGCGUAAAGCGCGCGCAGGCGGUCUUUUAAGUUUGGUGUUUAAGCCCGGGGCUCAACCCCGGUUCGCACUGAAAACUGGGAGACUUGAGUGCAGGAGAGGAAAGAGGAAUUCCACGUGUAGCGGUGAAAUGCGUAGAGAUGUGGAGGAACACCAGUGGCGAAGGCGGCUUUCUGAACUGUAACUGACGCUGAGGCGCGAAAGCGUGGGGAGCAAACA